UACUUGCGUGGAAAACCCAGUCGCAUAGAAAAGUAUCAUCGCUUGAUAGUAGAGAAACGGUAUCAGUGGCUCCCUCCUACUUUUUACCGUGCGAAAAGCAAACCAAGGGUUUUACCAGAAAGAGCAAAAGGUUUUAGAGCCAAAUAGAGAGGACAGAAUCACGCUCACAUUGGCUUUCAAAGACAGAAGCUUGUUAGUUGAAGAAUGCAGAGUCGCACUAGCAGUAACAGCAGCAUUGUAAUGCCCAAUCAGGCCAAGGCUUUACAAGGGAUUGAAAUAGACAUCCGUUUACUUUCAAAGUCCUUCAAGUUAUUACUGGAUUUAGCUUCGGUUGUGGUGUAGGUAUUGGUGUUGCGUCCGUUAAGUUGCGGAUGAUGUGGGCUAAGAGAAUUGAAGUAGGAAUUGGAUGUGGAGCUGGUUUUGGCCAUGGCUUUGGAUAUGGACUUGCUGCGCAACCUGGGGUGGUGUAGAAAAUUCAAGUUUGUCUCGUGCAAGUGGUGACAAAGAUGAUGGCGAAAUUCAGAAUGGCUCUCAAUCUAUCAAUUGGUCAAGGUACCCUUCUAUUGGCUAUGCAAAGUGGCUAGAGCACAGCAAAUGGACCCCCAAUCCAAAAUCCAUCUGGAAGUAUUAUGCAACUGGCAACAAAACUUCCUGACCAAACACAUGAAGGCAUGCAUGGAUAUGGUAAAAUAGUCCAUGUUCAAGCUGUGAAAACUCCUCAGUGUAGAUGACACACCUUUUGGUAGCCAAACAGAAAAUGUCACUAGCAGUUCUUUACAGAAUGCCGUUCUGAAAUAUGGGCAAAACCUGAAUGAAUUGAUGUUGAAACACCAGGAAGUCAUUGAGGAGCUUAUGGAGGAGAAUGAGAAGCUUUGUCACUGUCACCUAGCAAGCCCCAUUCCUGAUGCUUGAGUAGAAGUAAAUCUUGUUGUAAAAUUAGUUUAGAUUUCAAAAAGGUUUUGUGGUCGUUGAAGAUUUUAUUUAUGAGAUUUUUUUACUGUUGCAAAUUUGAUAUUUAAAUCUAAUAUUAAAUCUGACCGUUAUGAUUUUAUUAUAUUAUCUAAGAUUUUUAUAACCGCUUACAACGGCUAUUAUUUCCACUAUAAAUAGUCUCCAUUUUUACAAAAAAACACAACUCCCAUUUUUCUACUUUAUUAUUUCUCUUCCCUAUGUUUUCUGCUGGAUUAUAAAUUAGAGAUAUAUCAUUGUUAUCCUGAUCUUGGAAAUUAAAUUCCAGAAGAACCUGUUUAAUUCUGGGGAUUACAAAAUAAAUCUUUAAGGACAGUGUCCAACACGACUCAGGUUUUAUUAUUUUAUCAUAUUUUUUCAAUAAAUCUAUACGUGUUGAUUGUUUUGAGCGUUGAAGAAAUAAAGAACCUUUGCUUUAUAGCUUUGGUUUGGAUUGGCCAGUCUUGCAGGACAAUAAUCUGGAGCUGUCAAUUACACCUUGAAAGAUUAAAGUAUCAAGAUAGAUGCAGAUUACUUGUACGGAAGUUUGAUCAAGUUGGUUAACAUAUUCAAUAUAGCACAGUUGAGCCAGAAGAGGUUUUGAAAAUUGUGUGCAAGGAUGCACCCUGUGGAGUUAAGCAGCUGGAGAGCUUAACUUCAAACUGGAUUGUAGGUUUUUUUUAUUUGGACCAUGAGACUGUGGGCUAGUAUCAGGGAUAUAUUAGACCAAAUUAUCAUGCAUAAUUGAUUUCCUGCUUUGCUUAGUGUAGGAAUUUCAUAAUUAUAUUAGUCCAACUAAUGAGUCUAUGUACUUUUAUUUCUUACUUUAUUUUCACAUCUAUUUUAUUUAUCAAUUGUCAAGCCAAGAAAAAUAAAUAAAAAAUAAAAGGCUCAUAGACAGGGGAGACAAUUGACUGACCCACUCUCUUGUGAGUCGUCGCCAAUGAUAUGACAAUCCUUCCCUGAAAACAUAGGAAAAACCCCAUGCACCAGUUGGGUAGAAAAAUUUUACUUCCAUCUAAAUGUCUGAAACUUCUAUAGUCGACAUGAUAUAUGUGUCCAUCAUAAUUAAAUUUUGAAGGCUACCAUGCCUACUUGUGCAUCAAAGCAGAGCCUGAAUUAUUUUGGUUUUCCUUCAAUUUGUUUGUUGCUCAGUAGCUUUGAACCUGCAUGAGGAAGUUAGCUCUUCCCUUUUUCUAAUGUCUAUCUCAUUCUUUGAAAUAUAUUCAUCAAAUUUGAUGGAUGAAUGUUAGGGUCUGGAUCUAGUUAUGAGUCUGUGUAAUGAAUCUUUUGGCAAGGUAGGAGAAAGCAAGGAAGGAUUUUUCUUCUUGCGACCUGAUGUCUGAGAUCCAAGAAUGGGUCCAGGUUCAGGAUAUAUUUUAAUAAGCUUGGUUUGUCUCUCUUUCUCAUUUCCUUUUGUUCUUUUUCUCUUUUGUCUUUUAGUGACGUGUAACCGUCGUUCUGCACCUGGCCGUAUGUACGGAUGUAUUGCAUCAUUUUCUAUCGUCGGGCGACCAUUUAAUUCUAUCCGGCGCUACUUGGACAUGAUCCCAAGCAUCACGGAAUUUAUUGUUCCGUGGGGGUUAACGGAUAUUUGAGUCUAGGGCCCCACAGGCAGGUUUGUGUCCAGCCCACCUUGCCUGGAUAAGCCUAAGCUUGCAUGAGGUGUAGAGCCGUGCAUUGGGCUCUCCUAGAGUUUAAGCUCAAUCCUUCGGGCGCUCAUCAUGACCUAUUUUGAAAAGUUGUCAGACUCAACAGAAAGAACCUGUAAUCUUUUGAAUUUAAAAUACUCAAAAGCCAUUUUGGAAAUUUUUCUAGCUAUUGUUUAUUAAUUUGCUGUCAACUUAAAUACAAGUUGGAGUUUUAACUACCUCCUAAAAAACAGAAACUUAAAAAAGCAUAAUAUAGACUAACCUCCUACAAAUUAGAAUUUGGAAAUAACUAAAUAAAAUAUGGAAAUAACUAAAUAAUUAAACAGAACAUGGUAACAACAUGCAUAAGACCCAUGAUCUUUGCCACCGUCCUCUGCUAUAUAUAGACCCAUGAUUUAUGCUAUUAUCCACUACUACUUCAGUUGUGGAUAACUACCACUACUGUCUAACAUUACUCUCCUCCUUCACUAUACGCCUGUCCUUAAGCACAAACUCUAGAAAAUUUUUAGAAAUUGUUCGGCCAGUAGCUAGUCUGUUGCGACAUCUCCCAAGUCAUCAUCUGCUAAAUCCAACCAUAAUAGUUUUUUGCACUAGGGUCCUUAACGAAAUGGUUCAUCACAAUUAAAACAAAGUCCUUUUCGUUAUCAUUCCUCCAUCUCAUCGCGGUUCAAGUGUUUAAUUAUCCAGGUACCUUUUGCUUCCAAUGUUUAUUGAGAUGAGUAAUUGGUUGAAGAAUUUGUGGCACAUAUGGACCAAUUUUUCCAUUCAUAUAAUCUUGACAUGCUCAUGGUUUUGACUAGGUCUGUUGGUUAGUGAAAUUCCACCUCCACAACAAUGUAUUCCUACAAACCAUUGAUGUACAACUGUACUUUCUGAUCUUUCAUUGAGGAGGUCGGCUUGUGAGACAAGGAUUUCAAACUAAGUUUGAUACUCAGCAAUUGUACUUGUUUGUUUCAGUUUUGCUAAUUUGCCCAAUUUGUUGCUUCGUAUUGGGAGACCAAAACGCAAGUAGCUCUGGUUUUUGAAAUCCUCCCAUAUCAAGUUCGGAUAGUCUUGCGGCAAUUGUAGGAACCAUAGUUGUGUUAUGCCCUCUAGGUGAAAUGAAGCUAGACCGACCUUCUCCUUUUCUAAAGUUUGCUGAUGUCAAAAAAAAUGCUCACACCUGCUGAGCCACCUUAAAGGAUCCUACUGUCUGUUGAAGCGGGAAAAAUCAAGUGUGGUAAAUUUUAGAACAAUUGUACCACUAUUUGAAUUUUUGAAACCUGUGCAACUUGUUACUCCUUUGGCCUUUUGGGUGCAAGAAUGGCUACCAAUUUUUGUGGGUUGUGCUGAAUUGGCGACGUCAUGAGUGAGAGCUUCUAAUUUUAUUUUAAUUCAUCUUACCGGCCUUGUUGGCUG